rnacentral:rRNA from 1 species
ACUCCUACGGGAGGCUGCAGUGGGGAAUCUUGCGCAAUGGGGGAAACCCUGACGCAGCGACGCCGCGUGGAGGAUGAAGGUCUUCGGGUUGUAAACUCCUUUUCUUGGGGAAAAUGAUGAUGGUACUCAAGGAAUAAGCCACGGCUAACUCUGUGCCAGCAGCCGCGGUAAGACAGAGGUGGCGAGCGUUGUUCGGAAUUACUGGGCUUAAAGGGCGAGUAGGCGGUAGAGCAAGUCUGAGGUGGAAUCCUAUGGCUUAACCAUAGAACUGCCUUAGAAACUGCUUUACUUGAGUCAGUGAGGGGAGGGCGGAAUUCCUGGUGUAGCGGUGAAAUGCGUAGAUAUCAGGAGGAAGGCCUGUGGCGAAAGCGGCCCUCUGGCACUGUACUGACGCUGAGGCGCGAAAGCGUGGGGAGCAAACAGGAUUAGAUACCCUGGUAGUCCACGCCCUAAACGGUGGGCAUUAGGUGUAGGGCUCGUAAGGGUUCUGUGCCGAAGGGAAACCAUUAAAUGCCCCGCCUGGGGAGU